ACUGCAAAAGAGGCCCACUCUUAUGUUGCCACCCUCUUGACCUCUCAUGGAGGAGGCACAUGAAGAAGGGCUUCAGAUGGUGAUCAAAUGGUGCAGGUCAGUUUAUAUAGGGAGAGGUAGUCCCUGAGGUUUUGUGGUCCUGAGAUGUUUAAGGCUUUAUAGGUCAAAACCGGCACUUUGAAUUGGGUCCAGAAACUAAUUGGCAGCCAACUGCUUCCCUCUCUGCUCGAGUUAGGUUGGUGAGUGUCUGUGUUACAGAUGGUGACUAUUCACUUGUUUGAAUAAACAUAGAACUCUGUUUGCAGAGAUUGCUAAAACUACAGGCAUAUGAUGGGAAAAGGCAUGGCAAAGUUUUCAAAUAGUUAACUAUGUAGUGCAGCAGUAGCAAAAUCAAACAGGUUGAGACAUUGCUGAACUAUAUUUACAUUCUGUUACUGCAUUUACUUUCCAGGGUUUUUAAUUAGUUCCUCCUAUUCAUUACCUGGGGUGUGUGGAAAAUUGUGACGCUCAGUCAUACAGAAACUGCCUGACUACGGUAAAUGAAACAAUGAUGGGAACAUCACUCCAGGAUUCUGUUCUCCCAGGGAGUUGCUCAUUUUAGUCAGUUACGGUACUUGGAAGAAGGCAGACAGCCAAACUGCAAACACAAUGACUGGAUUGAGUUCUUAAGCAAAUACACAAGAAUGGCAUUCAAUCUCUUACAAGAGGAAUAAUUUUCAUCAUAAGUGUAACAAGAAACCUGGUCUAAAGCAAGGAGGCUGUUCCUUCCUUCUUGCUGGAAGCCACCUGACCACUGCCAGGAAGAGGAAUGCAAAACAUUCCCAGGAGCAGCUCCUGACGUCAGCAGAGCAUUUCAUCUCCCAAUGUUCAGAACGGUCUGGAAAUUCCAGUCUCUAGUAGAACUAAUUGAAUGCGAUAGCAGCUGCAGCCUGCAAUGAAUCACAUUAAAAACUGCUUCAUGUUAAGAUUAUUGAUGGUGGUAUGAACUGCUCAAAACAAACACAAAUCUGAUUAUUUUCCUACUGAACUAAUGCACACUGUGAUUGUGUCUACCUUGCUCGUUGUUACUUUUAUCAUAUCCUUGAACCUUGAGCAGUUGCCCUUAGAAAGUUAAAUACAUACAUAAAAGGA